rnacentral:rRNA from 1 species
GCAAGUCGAACGAGAAAGUUCUUCGGAAAUGAGUAAAGUGGCGCACGGGUGAGUAACGCGUAGAUAACCUGUCCAAGUGAUCGGGAUAGCCCUUCGAAAGGGGGAUUAAUACCGGAUACGUUGUUUGUUUUUAAGGACGAUCAAGAAAGGUGGCCUCUAUUUAUAAGCUAUCGCACAUGGAGGGGUCUGCGUACCAUUAGCUAGUUGGUGAGGUAAGGGCGUACCAAGGCGACGAUGGGUAGCUGGUCUGAGAGGAUGAUC